UACGGAGGAUGCAAGCGUUAUCCGGAUUCAUUGGGUUUAAAGGGUGCGUAGGCGGUUAUUUAAGUCAGUGGUGAAAUCCUGUCGCUCAACGAUAGAACUGCCAUUGAUACUGAAUAACUUGAGUACAGUUGAGGUAGGCGGAAUGUGUAGUGUAGCGGUGAAAUGCUUAGAUAUUACACAGAACACCGAUUGCGAAGGCAGCUUACUAAACUGCAACUGACGCUGAUGCACGAAAGCGUGGGGAU
rnacentral:rRNA from 1 species